GACGGAGGAUGCAAGCUUUAUCCGGAAUGAUUGGGCGUAAAGCGUCCGCAGGUGGCAGUUCAAGUCUGCUGUCAAAGACCGGGGCUUAACUUCGGAAAGGCAGUGGAAACUGAACAGCUAGAGUAUGGUAGGGGCAGAGGGAAUUCCUGGUGUAGCGGUGAAAUGCGUAGAGAUCAGGAAGAACAUCGGUGGCGAAGGCGCUCUGCUGGACCAUAACUGACACUCAGGGACGAAAGCUAGGGGAGCGAAUGGG
rnacentral:rRNA from 1 species